rnacentral:rRNA from 1 species
GAUGAACGCUAGCUACAGGCUUAACACAUGCAAGUCGAGGGGAAACGACAUCGAAAGCUUGCUUUUGAUGGGCGUCGACCGGCGCACGGGUGAGUAACGCGUAUCCAACCUGCCCACCACUUGGGGAUAACCUUGCGAAAGUAAGACUAAUACCCAAUGAUAUCCCACGAAGACAUCUGAAUGGGAUUAAAGAUUUAUCGGUGAUGGAUGGGGAUGCGUCUGAUUAGCUUGUUGGCGGGGUAACGGCCCACCAAGGCAACGAUCAGUAGGGGUUCUGAGAGGAAGGUCCCCCACAUUGGAACUGAGACACGGUCCAAACUCCGACGGGAGGCAGCAGUGAGGAAUAUUGGUCAAUGGGCGAGAGCCGGAACCAGCCAAGUAGCGUGCAGGAAGACGGCCCUAUGGGUUGUAAACUGCUUUUAUAAGGGAAUAAAGUGGGUCACGUGUGACUUUUUGCAUGUACCUUAUGAAUAAGGACCGGCUAAUUCCG